CACACAGAGAGAGAUAGAGAGAUACACUGCAUCCUAACUGCACCCAGAGAGAGAUACACUGCAUCCUAACUGCACUCAGAGAGAGAGAUACACUGCAUCCUAACUGCACACAGAGAGACAGAUACACUGCAUCCUAACUGCACUCAGAGAGAGAGAGAUACACUGCAUCCUAACUGCACUCAGAGAGAGAGAUACACUGCAUCCUAAAUGUACUCAGCGAGAGAUACACUGCAUCCUAACUGCACCCAGAGAGAGAGAGAGAUACACUGCAUCCUAACUCCACUCAGAUACACUGCAUUCUGACUGCACUCAGAGAGAGAUACACUGCAUCCUAACUGCACCCAGAGAGGGAGAUACACUGCAUCCUGACUGCACCCAGAGAGAGAGAGAUACACUGCAUCCUAACUGCACUCAGAGGGAGAUACACUGCAUUCUAACUGCACCCAGAGAG